GCAACAUAGAAAUGAUAGUGGCGGGUAUCGACAGAUAUCCUAAAACAUUAUUUAAGUAUAAUGUUAAAUUUUUAUUUUAAUAUAUACAUAUAUAAUUAUAUAUAGGCUCGAGCACGAGAGAUGAGAAAAUGCACUAUUUAUAUGAACAUUAUUUAGAUUAUUUAAUUAUUAUGCCAUUU
rnacentral:rRNA from 1 species